GACGAACGCUGGCGGCAGGCCUAACACAUGCAAGUCGAACGAGUGGCGGACGGGUUAGUAAUGUCUGGGAAACUGCCCGAUGGAGGGGGAUAACUACUGGAAACGGUAGCUAAUACCGCAUACCAUCGGAUGUGCCCAGAUGGGAUUAGCUAGUAGGUGGGGUAACGGCUCACCUAGGCGACGAUCCCUAGCUGGUCUGAGAGGAUGACCAGCCACACGGGAACUGAGACACGGUCCAGAAGCCUACGUGAGGCAGCAGUGGGGAAUAUUGCACAAUGGGCGAAAGCCUGAUGCAGCCAUGCAGCGUGUAUGAAGAAGGCCUUCGGGUUGUAAAGUACGUUAAGCGAGGAGGCGUUACUCGCAGAAGAAGCACCGGCUAACUCCGUGCCAGCAGCCGCGGUAAUUC
rnacentral:rRNA from 1 species